rnacentral:rRNA from 1 species
AUCAUUAUUGAAUAAACUUGGUGGGUUGUAGCUGGCUCCUUGGAGCAUGUGCACACUCAUCAUAUUUAUCUAUCCACCUGUGCACACUCUGUAGUCUUGAGGAAAUGAGAAGCAGGCAUUUGUCUGUGUUAUCAUACUCUUGAGUCUAUGUGUCUUCAUAUACCACGUAGCCUGUCGCAGAAUGUAUUUAAUGGGCCUUUGUGCCUAUAAAAACUUUAUACAACUUUCAGCAACGGAUCUCUUGGCUCUCGCAUCGAUGAAGAACGCAGCGAAAUGCGAUAAGUAAUGUGAAUUGCAGAAUUCAGUGAAUCAUCGAAUCUUUGAACGCACCUUGCGCUCCUUGGUAUUCCGAGGAGCAUGCCUGUUUGAGUGUCAUUAAAUUCUCAACCCAUUCAACUUGUAAUAGUUGAUAUGUGGCUUGGAUAUGGGGGUUUUGUGCAGGCCUUGAUUCAAAGGUCAGCUCCCCUGAAAUGCAUUAGCGGAACGGUUUGCAAUCUGUCACUGGUGUGAUAAUUAUCUACGCCUAAGACUAUAGAAUGCUCUCUGUCUGUUCAGCUUAUAACAGUCCCAUUUUGUGG